GAGUUUGAUCGUGGCUCAGAUUGAACGCUGGCGGCAUGCCUUACACAUGCAAGUCGAACGGCAGCAUGAUCUAGCUUGCUAGAUUGAUGGCGAGUGGCGAACGGGUGAGUAAUACAUCGGAACGUGCCCUGUAGUGGGGGAUAACUAGUCGAAAGAUUAGCUAAUACCGCGUACGACCUGAGGGUGAAAGUGGGGGACCGCAAGGCCUCAUGCUGUAGGAGCGGCCGAUGUCUGAUUAGCUAGUUGGUGGGGUAAAGGCCCACCAAGGCGACGAUCAGUAGCUGGUCUGAGAGGACGAUCAGCCACACUGGGACUGAGACACGGCCCAGACUCCUACGGGAGGCAGCAGCGGGGAAUUUUGGACAAUGGGCGAAAGCCUGAUCCAGCAAUGCCGCGUGUGUGAAGAAGGCCU
rnacentral:rRNA from 1 species